rnacentral:tRNA from 1 species
AUGGCUCAGUGGUUAGAGCGUCGAGCUUAUGAUCUUGAGGUUGUGAGUUCGAAUCCCAUU